rnacentral:tRNA from 1 species
AAAAUGUUAAGAUAAAAAAAAUCUAUUAGAUUGUGGUUCUAGAAAUAUUUUAUACAUUUUA